rnacentral:rRNA from 1 species
CCUACGGGUGGCAGCAGUGAGGAAUAUUGGUCAAUGGACGCAAGUCUGAACCAGCCAUGCCGCGUGCAGGAAGACGGCUCUAUGCGUUGUAAACUGCUUUUGUACGAGGGUAAAUCCCGAUACGUGUAUCGGGUUGAAAGUAUCGUAAGAAUAAGGAUCGGCUAACUACGUGCCAGCAGCCGCGGUAAUACGGAGGAUUAGAGCGUUAUCCGGAUUUAUUGGGUUUAAAGGGAGCGUAGGCGGUUCGAUAAGUUAGAGGUGAAAUCCAGGGGCUCAACUCGGGCAUUGCAUCUGAUACUGUCGAGCUAGAGUUUAGUUGCGGUGGGUGGAAUGGAAUGUGUAGCGGUGAAAUGCAUAGAGAU